GGGGAAGAAUAUUCCAGGCAGGGAGAUCAUCAACUGCAAGGAAAGUACAAGGCCAUGUGGGGUAUCGUAGCAAAUAAAGAGACUUCUUCUCUGGGUGUGAGUUUUGAGCAGAGGAAUGGCCUGAUCUUGCAGCUAUGAUAAAAAUCGACCAUAGAUUGCUGCCAAAAAUGCAUAUCCUGAAUCUAAUCAGGAGGAAACACCAGCAAAACUGAAAAUGAGGGGCAUUCUACAAAAUAUAUAAACUCUUCAAAAUUAUGAAGAUCAGAAAAGUCAAAGAAAGGCUGAGUAUUUGUUUAUGAUUAAAGGAGAUGAAAGAUAUAUGCCAAUUAAGUCAAUGAAUAUUCUGAAUUGAAUCCUUGAUGACGGGGAGGGAAGGUAACUAUGUAGGGAACAUUGCUGGAUGGUUGAUAAAAUUGGAAUAUAGACUGUGGACUAAAUAAUACUAAUAUAUCAAUGUUACAUUUCAUGAUUUUGAUUAUUGUAGAUAUGUAAAAGCAUGUCACUGUUCUGAGGAAAUAUAGUACUCUAAAUUAUAUAGGAGGCAUCAUGUCUGUAACCCACUCUUAAAUAUUUCAGAAAAUAUUAAAAUAAGAGAAAAAGAGAAGUUAAUAAAAUAAACAGGCAAAACCUAUAAACAAUUGGUGAAUCUGAGUAAAGCAUAUAUGGGAGUUCAUUUUACUAGUUUUGCAAUUUUCCAUAAGUUUGAAAUAAUAUCAAAACUAGUUAGAAAACAAAAGCAAAGCUUCUUUGCCACAUCUCCUGCGAGAAUGAAGACCAUUCUCAGCAAUCAGACUGUCGCCAUUCCAGAAAAAGUCAACAUCACUCUGAAGGGACACACAGUUACUGUGGAGGGACCCAGAGGAACCCUGCAAAGGGACUUCAAUCACAUCAAUGUAGAACUCAGUCUUCUUGGAAAGAAGAAGAAGAGGCUCCGAGUUGACAAAUGGUGGGGAAAUAAAAAAGAGCUGGCUACUGUUCUAUCUGUAGUCACGUACAGGACAUGAUCAAGGGCAUUACACUGGGCUUCCAUUACAAGAUGAGGUCUGUGUAUGCUCACUUCCCCAUCAACGUUGUUAUUCAGGAGAAUGGUUCUCUUGUUGAAAUCCGAAAUUUCUUGGGUGAGAAGUACCUCCACAGGGUUCGGAUGAGGCCAGGUGUUGCUUGUUCUAUAUCUCAAGCCCAAAAAGAUGAGUUAAUUCUUGAAGGACAUGACAUUGAACUUGUAUCGAACUCAGCUGCUUUGAUUCAGCAAGCCACAACUGUUAAAAACAAGGAUAUCAGAAAAUUUCUGGAUGGUAUCUAUGUUUCUGAGAAAGGAACAGUUCAGCAGGCUGAUGAAUAAGAUCUGAGUUGUCCAUCUACAGAAACAGCAAGAUGCCGGAUGAUUUUUCAGACUUAUUUGUGAUAUUUUAAAGAUGCAAUAAAAGCUAUACUGAUU